GCAAGGGCCGCCCGAGGGCUGCGAUGCGGAGUCUGCCCCAGAGCUCCCUGAAAACUCUCAUUUGGCCUAUAAAGAGAGGAGGACACCCGCCUGCGUGGGACUUUGUGCUGCUGGGCCUUGUGAGCUGCUGAGGAGGGCGUAAAAGACAGGUGUAUGUUGCCAGCACUAAUGUCACCGUGGUGCUUGGUUUGGCAAAUCAGCCUCCUCAGUGAGCGCUGCAUGAGCUGAUACUGCGUACCUGAGUAUUACACUGAAGCAAUACCCGGAGAUGGAUCGGGCAUCCCAGCUUGCAGAAGUUAGGGAAGAGUGCCAGGGCCAUCUGGACAUCACUCAGGGGGCAGUGAGGACCCCAGAACUGGGAUUCAACCCCCAUCACCAUUGCAAAGGUAGGAUCACCAUGCGCUAAUAGGUCAUGACGACCACUUUGGAGCCCUUAGCACUUUAGGACUUCUUUUAGUCAGGAAUUUAUGUGAAUAUGUUGGUUGUCACUGAGUA
rnacentral:lncRNA from 1 species